rnacentral:lncRNA from 1 species
AGAUAAUAAUAAUAAUAUUAUACACUCAAAUUUUUCUUGUACAUUUAAUAUACAAUAAAUUAAUAAUUUCACAUCAUGAAAAAAAGUUGCAUUCACAAUCCACAACACUAAGAUUUCCAACAGAAUAAAACGAUAUUCACUCAAUUCUUUGUCAUACUCGUACAUGGAAAAAAAAAUCUACGAAAUAGUUCAAUUGUUAUUUCUUAUACACUUAAUCCAAAUGUAUUAUUAUCUCAGAGUAUUUUGUAAUGCUCCAUAUUAUGACUCUUCUUCUUUUUCAUAAACGGCUUUUUAGUCACCAUUUCUAUUCACUUUGUCUAACCAUCUGAAAUAAAAAACAAUAAAAGAUAUAUAAAAAAAAUAAAAAGCUUUACGUAAUCUAAUAAAAGAAAAUGAAAAUGAAAAAAAACAAUAUAUGUUAAUGAUAGAUUAUCAAUUUUCAAUCAUGUACAAACAAAAAUCUAAAAAGAUGAACAAUGGAAAUUGAAUUGAUUUUUAGAAUAUGACUCGUGGAAAAUAAGAUGAACAUAAGAAAACACAGAAAAAUGCAACAAACAAAGAAAAUAAGGGUUUAGAGAAACUUUCAAUAAUUUGGAUUAUAUGUCGAAAGUGAUGUGAAAAUUGUGAGUAUCAUAAGCAAUAUUUAUUUAUAGGAAAAAACAUUAAGUAAUCACAAUAAUUACUUUUAUAAAAGGGUUAAAUAUGUUUUUAUUCUCUAUAAAUAUAUCAAUUUUUUCUUUUAGUCCCUCUAAAAUUUUCCUUCAACUUUUAGUCUUUAUAAAAUUUUCAAUCACUACUUUUGGUCCUAAUUUUAAGUUAAUUUUAGUUUUUUUUAAUGAAAUUGUGCAGAAAUGUGUAGAAUAUUGUAAAAAUAUUUAAAAAAAAAAGAAUAUUUUGACAAAACAUAAAUAAAAUAUGAAUUUUUAACCGUAAAAAAUAUAAAAAUUCAUAUUAAAUUCAUGUUUUGUUAAACAAUUCUAAUUUUUUUUGGGAGACAUUCUUAUAAUAUUAUGAAUUUUUCUGAAAAAUUUUAUUCAAAAAUAUUAAUUCUACAUAUGAUUUUAUUUUAAAAUAGGGAUCAAAAGUGAAGAUGGAAAAUUUUUAAGGGACUAAAAGUUGAAGGAAAAUUUUAGAGGGACUAAAAGAAAAAGUUGGUAUAUUUAUAGGGACCAAAAACAUAUUUAACCCUUUAUAAAAUGAGCAAUGAUAGAUAGACACCCUUAACGUGUAUUCCCAUAAGCAUUUUCAUAGCAGAAACACAAAUUAUUCUCAUGGCACCAUGGAAGACCAGGCAUGACACACAUGUGAUUGCAAUCUUCGUUUUUCUUGCAGGGGUGAAUUCCGUUUUCUAUUGUAAACCAUAAAAUAAUAAAAUAAUUAGGGUCAAUAAAAGAGAUGAAAGAUUGUGUAUAAAAUAAAAUUUGAGAGGAUAAAAAAAUGGACCUAUUUCUUGGGCUGCAAUGUUAAGCAGGAAAACACAUAUGAUCAUAAUAUAAGCAAAUUUGAAAAUUGUAGUCAUGUUUCUGCUCCUUUGCAU